rnacentral:rRNA from 1 species
CAGUCGCCACGGGAAUACAGAGGGUGCGAGCGUUAAUCGGAUUUACUGGGCGUAAAGCGUGCGUAGGCGGCUUCUUAAGUCGGAUGUGAAAUCCCUGAGCUUAACUUAGGAAUUGCAUUCGAUACUGGGAAGCUAGAGUAUGGGAGAGGAUGGUAGAAUUCCAGGUGUAGCGGUAAAAUGCGUAGAGAUCUGGAGGAAUACCGAUGGCGAAGGCAGCCAUCUGGCCUAAUACUGACGCUGAGGUACGAAAGCAUGGGGAGCAAACAGGAUUAGAUACCCCCGUAGUCCCUGUCUCUUAUAA